rnacentral:lncRNA from 1 species
UACCAGAGUGCGAUCCGGUAAGAUGUUGGGGUUCAUUAUAAGAGAGGAAUCGAGGUUGAUCCUGCUAAAAAAGAAAAAAAAAAGGGAAAAACAAUAAGAGAAACGCCUGAAUCGAGAAAGAAAAAGAGGGGUUCGUGGUUUCUUAGAAAGAUUGAACUACCUGUCAUGGUUCACAUCUCAUCUAACAGCCACGUGUGAAUCCAUAUUCAGGAUGUUGAAAAGAAAGAUCAAACGGUCAGAAGAAAGAUUGAACUACCUGUCAUGGUUCACAUCUCAUCUAACAGCCACGUGUGAAUCCAUAUUCAGGAUGUUGAAAAGAAAGAUCAAACGGUCAGGUGAAAUAAUGAUUGCCAAAAGGGGCAUGGAAGAAAUAAAAAAAAUAAGUUGCAGGAAC